rnacentral:rRNA from 1 species
AGGAAUUGACGGGGACCCGCACAAGUAGCGGAGCAUGUGGUUUAAUUCGAAGCAACGCGAAGAACCUUACCUAAGCUUGACAUCCCAAUGACAUCUCCUUAAUCGGAGAGUUCCCUUCGGGGACAUUGGUGACAGGUGGUGCAUGGUUGUCGUCAGCUCGUGUCGGGAGAUGUUGGGUUAAGUCCCGCAACGAGCGCAACCCUUGUCUUUAGUUGCCAUCAUUAAGUUGGGCACUCUAGAGAGACUGCCAGGGAUAACCUGGAGGAAGGUGGGGAUGACGUCAAAUCAUCAUGCCCCUUAUGCUUAGGGCUACACACGUGCUACAAUGGGUAGUACAGAGGGUUGC